rnacentral:rRNA from 1 species
CCUUCGGGGUACUCGAGCGGCGAACGGGUGAGUAACACGUGAGUAACCUGCCCUAGGCUUUGGGAUAACCCUCGGAAACGGGGGCUAAUACCGGAUAUGACCUGCCACUGCAUGGUGGUGGGUGGAAAGUUUUUCGGCCUGGGAUGGGCUCGCGGCCUAUCAGCUUGUUGGUGGGGUGAUGGCCUACCAAGGCGACGACGGGUAGCCGGCCUGAGAGGGCGACCGGCCACACUGGGACUGAGACACGGCCCAGACUCCUACGGGAGGCAGCAGUGGGGAAUAUUGCACAAUGGGCGGAAGCCUGAUGCAGCGACGCCGCGUGAGGGAUGACGGCCUUCGGGUUGUAAACCUCUUUCAGCAGGGACGAAGCGUAAGUGACGGUACCUGCAGAAGAAGCGCCGGCCAACUACGUGCCAGCAGCCGCGGUAAGACGUAGGGCGCGAGCGUUGUCCGGAUUUAUUGGGCGUAAAGAGCUCGUAGGCGGCUUGUCGCGUCGACUGUGAAAACCCGCGGCUCAACCGCGGGCCUGCAGUCGAUACGGGCAGGCUAGAGUUCGGUAGGGGAGACUGGAAUUCCUGGUGUAGCGGUGAAAUGCGCAGAU